ACUCCUACGGGAGGCAGCAGUAGGGAAUCUUCCACAAUGGACGAAAGUCUGAUGGGGCAACGCCGCGUGAGUGAAGAAGGGUUUCGGCUCGUAAAAACUCUGUUGUUAAAGAAGAACAUAUCUGAGAGUAACUGUUCAGGUAUUGACGGUAUUUAACCAGAAAGCCACGGCUAACUACGUGCCAGCAGCCGCGGUAAUACGUAGGUGGCAAGCGUUGUCCGGAUUUAUUGGGGCGUAAAGCGAGCGCAGGCGGUUUUUAAGUCUGAUGUGAAAGCCUUCGGCUCAACCGAAGAAGUGCAUCGGAAACUGGGGAAACUUGAGUGCAGAAGAGGACAGUGGAACUCCAUGUGUAGCGGUGAAAUGCGUAGAUAUAUGGAAGAACACCAGUGGCGAAGGCGGCUGUCUGGUCUGUAACUGACGCUGAGGCUCGAAAGUAUGGGUAGCAAACAGGAUUAGAUACCCUGGUAGGAUAGCG
rnacentral:rRNA from 1 species